GACGAACGCUGGCGGCGUGCCUAAUACAUGCAAGUAGAACGCUGAAGGAGGAGCUUGCUUCUCCGGAUGAGUUGCGAACGGGUGAGUAACGCGUAGGUAACCUGCCUGGUAGCGGGGGAUAACUAUUGGAAACGAUAGCUAAUACCGCAUAACAGUAGAUAUCGCAUGAUAUCUGCUUGAAAGGUGCAAUUGCAUCACUACUAGAUGGACCUGCGUUGUAUUAGCUAGUUGGUGAGGUAACGGCUCACCAAGGCGACGAUACAUAGCCGACCUGGGAGGGUGAUCGGCCACACUGGGACUGGGACACGGCCCAGACUCCUACGGGAGGCAGCAGUAGGGAAUCUUCGACAAUGGACGGAAGUCUGACCGAGCAACGCCGCGUGAGUGAAGAAGGUUUUCGGAUCGUAAAGCUCUGUUGUAAGAGAAGAACGAGUGUGAGAGUGAAAAGUUCACGCUGUGACGGUAUCUUACCAGAAAGGGACGGCUAACUACGUG
rnacentral:rRNA from 1 species